rnacentral:sRNA from 1 species
GUUUUCUUCUUCAAUUUUAUCACACUAUUCAUGGUUAUGCAGAUGUUAGUGGCGAAGAAGGAAGAGUCAAUAGACAAAAUCAAUGACUUACCUUUAAGCAUUCUGUUCCACAUAAUGGAAUCCAUGGACGCAAGGUCAAGAAGCUGAACAGGAUCAUCACAUAUGCUGCAUUGCAUCAUGUUCAGCAGAUGGCACUGCAUUUUUGUUUCUACAUUUUUCUAACUAUGACUGGU